GCGCAUGGUGUGUGCAUACGUAAGGGCAAGUAGAGGCACAUGCUCUGAAGAACAACGGAGAACAACGGAGAGUCCGAGACCGUGGGUACUUCGGUCAGUGUUGGCCCAGAAUGAAAAACACACCCCUUAUAAUCCGCGGAGGAUGUAAUCCACGACAUUAAUAACUGGUGUCAUGUCUGGAUUAGAUGUUCGAGUGCUACAAUGUACACCUUGUUCUUAACAAGUGCCACGAGGACUCAGUGUCAUCAUCUUGGGGUCUUCUUACUGCCAGUAAGUAGCUGUGUGAUUUAGUGUAGGGCAUGUAAACUCCCUGUGCCUCAGUUUCCUAAAUCAAAUUUGAAGAGGUUGAGUUAAUUACUAAGACUCCUUUUAGAGCCAAAAAACCCCAUGAUUAAAUAAUAUUUUUCUGUAAGCAUUAUAAUUUAUUCCUCAUUGGGAGGAACAUGCUCUGUGUCACCAUCACAUGUAGGAUAUCUAUAGAUGAUCAGUAUCCAAGUUUAGGAAAAGUAUCAAAUACCUCAGUACAUAAAUUUGUUAACGUUUGGGUUGUUGGGGGUUUUUUUGUGUGUAUAUUUUUUAAUUAGUUCCUUUCUGAGGAUUGUGUCCAUUAAGAUACUUCAUGCUCAGCCAGUAUGUUUAUUAUUUUUCAAUAGUAUGCUUUAAAUAAAGGAGAGAACUUUAUUUGA